GGCCUUGACAUACUAAGAACUUUCCAGAGAUGGAUUGGUGCCUUCGGGAACUUAGAGUACAGGUGCUGCAUGGCUGUCGUCAGCUCGUGUCGUGAGAUGUUGGGUUAAGUCCCGCAACGAGCGCAACCCUUUUCCUUAUUUGCCAGCGGGUCAUGCCGGGAACUUUAAGGAUACUGCCAGUGACAAACUGGAGGAAGGCGGGGACGACGUCAAGUCAUCAUGGCCCUUACGGCCAGGGCUACACACGUGCCACAAUGGUCGGUACAAAGGGUUGCUACCUCGCGAGAGGAUGCUAAUCUCAAAAAGCCGAUCGUAGUCCGGAUCGCAGUCUGCAACUCGACUGCGUGAAGUCGGAAUCGCUAGUAAUCGCGGAUCAGAAUGCCGCGGUGAAUACGUUCCCGGGCCUUGUACACACCGCCCGUCACACCAUGGGAGUUUGUUGCACCAGAAGUAGGUAGUCUAACCGCAAGGAGGACGCUUACCACGGUGUGGCCGAUGACUGGGGUGAAGUCGUAACAAGGUAAGCGUAGAUGA
rnacentral:rRNA from 1 species